UUCACAAGAUGGCGCCGAAGGCCAAGAAGGAAGCUCCUGGCACACGUCCUGCUCCUGGCCCUCCUAAAGCCGAACCCAAAGCAAAGGCAUUGAAGGUCAAGAAAGCAGUGCUGAAAGGCGUCCAUAGCUACACAAAAAAAGAAGAUUCGCACGUCACCCACUUUCCGGAGGCAGCCCAAAUAUCCGCGGAAGAGCGCUCCCAGGAGAAACAAGCUUGGCCAUUAUGCCUUCUUCAAGUUUCCCCUGACCACUGAGACCGCCAUGAAGAAAACAGAAGACAACAACACACUCGUGUUCAUCGUGGAUGUUAAAGCCAACAAACACCAGAUAAAACAGGCUGUGAAGAAGCUCUAUGACAUUGAUGUUGCAAAGGUCAACAGCCUGAUUAGGCCUGAUGGAGAGAAGAAGGCAUAUGUUCGACUGGCUCCUGAUUAUCAUGCUUUGGAUGUUGCCAACAAAAUUGGGAUCAUUUAAACAGAGUCCAGCUGGCUAAUUCUAAAUAUAUAUCUUCUCACCAUAAAAAAAAAAA